AGGGGUGUGGCUCAGUGGUGGAGCACUUGCCUGGCAAGUGCAAGGCCCUGGGUUUGAUCCCCAGUACCUCAA
rnacentral:tRNA from 1 species